UAGAGUUUGAUCCUGGCUCAGGAUGAACGCUGGCGGUAUGCUUAACACAUGCAAGUCGAACGGACUCUUCGGAGUUAGUGGCGGACGGGUGAGUAACGCGUGAGAAUCUGGCUUCAGGUUCGGGACAACAGUUGGAAACGGCUGCUAAUACCGGAUGUGCCUUAUGGUGAAAGAUUUAUCACCUGAAGAUGAGCUCGCGUCUGAUUAGCUAGUAGGUGUGGUAAGAGCGCACCUAGGCGACGAUCAGUAGCUGGUCUGAGAGGAUGAUCAGCCACACUGUGACUGAGACACGGCCCACACUCCUACGGGAGGCAGCAGUGGGGAAUUUUCCGCAAUGGGCGAAAGCCUGACGGAGCAAUACCGCGUGAGGGAGGAAGGCUCUUGGGUUGUAAACCUCUUUUCUCAGGAAGAAUGAUGACGGUACCUGAAGAAUAAGCAUCGGCUAACUCCGUGCCAGCAGCCGCGGUAAUACGGAGGAUGCAAGCGUUAUCCGGAAUGAUUGGGCGUAAAGCGUCCGCAGGUGGCAAUGUAAGUCUGCUGUCAAAGCG
rnacentral:rRNA from 1 species